UACGGAGGGGGCUAGCGUUGUUCGGAAUUACUGGGCGUAAAGCGCGCGUAGGCGGACCCGCAAGUCGGGGGUGAAAGCCCGAGGCUCAACCUCGGAACUGCCUUCGAUACUGCGGGUCUCGAGUCCGGGAGAGGUGAGUGGAAUUCCUAGUGUAGAGGUGAAAUUCGUAGAUAUUAGGAAGAACACCAGUGGCGAAGGCGGCUCACUGGCCCGGUACUGACGCUGAGGCGCGAAAGCGUGGGGAGCAAACAGGG
rnacentral:rRNA from 1 species